GUCAAGGUUUUUUGUUUGUUUGUUUUGUUUUUUGUUUUUUUUUGCGGUACGCGGGCCUCUCACUGCUGUGGCCUCUCCCGUUGCAGAGCACAGGCUCCGGACGCGCAGGCUCAGCGGCCAUGGCUCACGGGCCCAGCCACUCCGCGGCAUGUGGGAUCUUCCCGGACCGGGGCACGAACCCGCGUCCCCUGCAUCGGCAGGCGGACUCUCAACCACUGCGCCACCAGGGAAGCCCGGGAUCAAGGUUUUGAGACAAUUUGGGGGUAUAAAUACAACUGGAUAAAAUACUAGCAACUUAAUUUGUUCCUUGAAAACUGUGAACAUGUUUCGGCUUUUCAGUGCUAGUGAUGGUGGUUCUGCAGGGCCGGGGUGAGAUGCAUUGGAUUGUUCAACUAAUGGAAAGCAGAAUAAAACCAAAAAGCAAAACAACCUAAAUAGAACACUGGUACUUCUACUGGAUGCUAUGACGCCAACAACCACCCCCCCUCAAAAAAAAGCCCCAUCAGCACGGACAUAGUUAAGCACAUCAAUCUGGGGACAGUGCUGACCUGCGUGAACAAUACUUCUAAGCAAACCCUACCCUCAGAUUCUCACCCGGAGAAGCUGGAAACACAAGAAUACAAAUGUGUUAUGGAAACACAAACUGGCCUAACAUCCCGGAAUAUGGAGGUCUGUUACCUUUCGAGGGUGCUUCUCUGCACCAAAAGGGCUGUUGAAAAGACACAUCCUACCUUGGUUCGCGGUUCUCAUCUUACCCCCAAAUCUGGAAUCCAGGAGGGAAUCAUGCACCGCUACAGCCUUAUCCUUUGUGGUCCUGCCUUCUCCGGUGCAGCUCUGAUGGCUGGUCUGCGAUGCUUUCCCCUCCGUGUGGCCACUACACCACAAGCUCCCACCAAGCAGCACACCACCUGAAGCUGUUCUUCCAAAUCGAUUUCAACUGCACGUAUUUUUGAACUGUGUGUUCCUUCGCCCCUAACAGCGGCGCGUCCGUCCGUCUGCUGUCACCUUGCUAACCCUGGUUUGCACCGUGCCCAUUCCUUUGUUGCUAUUGAGGGGAUUAACUUUUAUCUGACGGUUCUACCAUUUUGCAGCUAAUCUUCUGGAUCGACUAAGGCUCCCCCGUCCUCAUUCGCGUCAGAUGGUCUGAAGAAGUCAAUCGGCGCUUCACUAAGCAUUCCUAAAGGCAGCUCUGAAGGCAGGAAAGCAAGGUGCUACUUGAGAGAUACUUCUGUUUUCCUGCUCUACUCUCUUCCUAAAUCCACCUUCUCUUUCAAUUGGGCAGAAGGUAUUUGCUGCUUUUCUUGAAGCCCAGUGGAUCAGACAGACUCCUGGAUAAGAAAAUGAGGGAAGGACCAACCUCUAGAGUUGGAGAGAUACUCUAAAUUUAAAUUGAAAAUCUGUACGAGGGAAUAAACACGUACAUGCAUUGUAGCAUUCUGAAAUAUUUAGUCUCUUACUAACUGUCAAAAGUAUCUUUCACAGGCAAAGGAGGAGGUUGAACCCCAAAUGUCAGGGCCUGAAGAGUGGACCCAUUCUGACUGCAAGGCGAGUUUUUGCCGUAAACAGUACACGUUUUCCUUUGAAAAGUAGUUAGCAUCACCGGGUCAUGAAGUGUCUGCAGGAUCUGUGGGGUCAGCUCUUCUCAGAGUCCCAGGGAGAAGAGCUAUUUAUGCCCAAAGGAUCAGCGCUCAGGAAAGUGCUCUAAUCCUAGGUGACGCGUAGAAAGCUGUGCAACCAUCAGGAGGCUCGUACUUUGUACACAAUAUCAUCCACUGGAAUAUACAUGAUGUGCUGAUCAUAAGUGCUGUGCUAUGUUAAUAUCCUGACGCUAAGAAGUUUCAAAAUUAAAAAAGGGAAAAUAGACUUGAGAGUAAAGGGCAUCUUCAAAGCUUUAAAAAUAGGAUAACCUCAGUAUAAAUAAGGAGAUUGUUGCUCAUGAGGGGUGGGUGCCAUCGGUGCCUUUCUGAUCCUUAUCUCACAGGUAAGUAUUAAUUGACUCAUGUAUUUGUGUUUUGCUUAUUGUGCCCCUUCUGUGUCAGGCAGGAUGCUAAGCCCUGGGGAUAAGAGGUGACCAAGCCACAGACCCUGCCUAGGGAAGUUCAGAGCCUACAAGGAAUAAUAGAUGUGAAGAAUGAAUAGAUAAAUACUGUAAAAAGGUGUACGCUUUAUAGGGACAGUGAAACGUUGAAUUUAGGGGGGGAAAGCCCUAACAUUUUUUUCUGUGUAUCUUUUAAUGGCAAUUCCUCUAGCCAAGAUGUUGGACCAACUGAUUGAAUCGUUAUAAGGAUAAUGUAUGUGAGACACACCAUAAGCUGCCAACUCAGAUACUACUGUUUUUAGUGUUGAAGAAACCACCGCUUCAGGCAUGCCAUACAGGUUAUUGCCCGUGAACUGAAGGAGGGAAGGAAUAUCCUUAAACCCAGCCCGGUAAAGUUCUCCACUGGACUCAAGCACAGCUGCGGGAGGAGGUUUAAAUGGAGAGACAGGAGACCCGGCCGGACUCUGGAUAGCAGAGCAAGCAACGACCGAAAGCUCCCAGCUCUCGGCGAAGGACGAGGUCGCAGUCACAGAGCCUGGCGCCCGAACCAGCUGAGCUCUCAACUCCCGGUCACUUAACACAGUCUCCGAAAGCUGAGCGAGGCAUGUGGGAUCUUAGCUCCCCGACCAGGGAUUGAACCCGUACCCCCUGCACUGGAAGGCGAAGUCUUAACCACUGGACCGCCAGGGAAGUCCCUCACCCGUCUCUUUAGCUCCUGCAACUUAGCACCAUCUUUCUCGAGUAGAGAAGAUGCUCAAACAGGCUUUGUUAAAUUGAAAUGUAAGCAAAUGAUGCGGAUGGCCCAGAGGUCCUCUGACACAUGCCCGAGGGCUUGCUGGGGCCAUCCCAGGGUCACUGCUAGGCGCGCCCGUCACCCAAUCGAAACGAGCAUCCGGCCCUCAGCCUUGAAAGGCAGCGGAGGAAAAACAACGCCAGCCUCCUUACGGAUCCCAUGAGUCCCAGAGCUGACUCACAAGAACUAAUAAGAACCUCCUGUAUAAAAAAAAUAAAUAAAAUAAAAUUCAAAAGUUCCAAACAAGAAAAGAACAAACGGCGAGCCCCUGUCUCCCAUAUCCAGCCCAAUGAAAGACACACAAGCAGAGGUGUUAUAGGUCCCACUUGCAAAAGAGCUUUUGAUGUUUGCUUCCGCUGAGGCAAUCUCUCGAAUCCCUUCCCCUUUAUGUCACCUCUGGAGGGGUUGACAUUUUCUUUACUCCGGUCUCUAAAGCACAUCUGCUUUUCUGAAAACCAGACUGUGCACAGUGCAAAUCACAGCAGGUAGGACAUCUCUCCGUCUCCUCUCCCCCAAGGAUCUGCGAGGGUGGUGCCCCGGUGGCCUGGGCGAGAAGGAGGCCACACCGGAAAGAAUUAGGAACCUCCAAAGGCACACGCCACCCAUGGUGACAGCCACGGGCCCCGGCUCCUUCAGGUGCGCUUUUAUUUUGAAGAUAGCAAAUAUUUCUGCCAGUACGGUUGGAAUAAACUAGCACAUAUCAUUAGAUUAGCAUCCGUGUCUCACCUUGUUUGCUCCAUCUGCUCUUUCGCAGAAACAUAGCCUUUUGCAUGUAAUAACUGAACAGUAGAGAGAAUCUGGACGAGUGGAAAACUCUCCCAGCUCACUGUUUAGCUAGAAACAGCAGAAGGUAUGUGAGAAAUUUUAAAUCUCUUAUUCUGGAACGCACAAGGAGGCUAAGGAUUUCAACUGUCAGCGCAGCAGAUUCUGGAAGUCCACACAGAGGUGUCUUAAGGUUCGGGCGAAUAGGUGGCACUCAUGGGAAUGGCUUGGAGUAGCGCGGUGGAAUGCAUGGCAACGAUGCGGGAGGUUUCAAAAGGGUUCUGAGUAACUCCAGCAUCUGGCUAGAGGUACGCUCCUUCAAAGAAUUUCUUUUGUAGCGCCUAACCUCUGUGAUGGUGAAUAAAACAAUGCUUUUCUUGGACGCUCUUAGUGAAACCGUGUAGCGCUGUAUUGUUAAGUUUUACUAUUUCAAGGUAGCCCAAAACAAUUUCAGAUGAGAGGCUCACAGCCAGGAGGUUCUAACACUUUAGAACCUGUUAUUGAGUUGUAUUAUCUAAUCUUAUAUUCCAAGAGCUAGACAUUUAGCAAGGUGACUCAUAUCCAUUUUGGUUUCUGAGGACUUACUUCUAUACACAUGUUCCUUGACAUGAAAGCACUGAUUUCUAUCAAUGGAGCGGAUGAAACCCACU